GUCUCGGUGGUGUAGUGGCAUAGCACGCGUCCCUGGCUAGGAUGAAACGCAGGUUCGAUUCUCGCCUGAGGUCACG